AAGGGGCUUCUGUGGGAUGGAG
rnacentral:miRNA from 1 species